UUAAGCGACUAAGCGUACACGGUGGAUGCCCUGGCAGUCAGAGGCGAUGAAGGACGUGCUAAUCUGCGAUAAGCGUCGGUAAGGUGAUAUGAACCGUUAUAACCGGCGAUUUCCGAAUGGGGAAACCCAGUGUGUUUCGACACACUAUCAUUAACUGAAUCCAUAGGUUAAUGAGGCGAACCGGGGGAACUGAAACAUCUAAGUACCCCGAGGAAAAGAAAUCAACCGAGAUUCCCCCAGUAGCGGCGAGCGAACGGGGAGCAGCCCAGAGCCUGAAUCAGUAUGUGUGUUAGUGGAAGCGUCUGGAAAGGCGCGCGAUACAGGGUGACAGCCCCGUACACAAAAAUGCACAUGCUGUGAGCUCGAUGAGUAGGGCGGGACACGUGGUAUCCUGUCUGAAUAUGGGGGGACCAUCCUCCAAGGCUAAAUACUCCUGACUGACCGAUAGUGAACCAGUACCGUGAGGGAAAGGCGAAAAGAACCCCGGCGAGGGGAGUGAAAAAGAACCUGAAACCGUGUACGUACAAGCAGUGGGAGCACGCUUAGGCGUGUGACUGCGUACCUUUUGUAUAAUGGGUCAGCGACUUAUAUUCUGUAGCAAGGUUAACCGAAUAGGGGAGCCGAAGGGAAACCGAGUCUUAACUGGGCGUUAAGUUGCAGGGUAUAGACCCGAAACCCGGUGAUCUAGCCAUGGGCAGGUUGAAGGUUGGGUAACACUAACUGGAGGACCGAACCGACUAAUGUUGAAAAAUUAGCGGAUGACUUGUGGCUGGGGGUGAAAGGCCAAUCAAACCGGGAGAUAGCUGGUUCUCCCCGAAAGCUAUUUAGGUAGCGCCUCGUGAAUUCAUCUCCGGGGGUAGAGCACUGUUUCGGCAAGGGGGUCAUCCCGACUUACCAACCCGAUGCAAACUGCGAAUACCGGAGAAUGUUAUCACGGGAGACACACGGCGGGUGCUAACGUCCGUCGUGAAGAGGGAAACAACCCAGACCGCCAGCUAAGGUCCCAAAGUCAUGGUUAAGUGGGAAACGAUGUGGGAAGGCCCAGACAGCCAGGAUGUUGGCUUAGAAGCAGCCAUCAUUUAAAGAAAGCGUAAUAGCUCACUGGUCGAGUCGGCCUGCGCGGAAGAUGUAACGGGGCUAAACCAUGCACCGAAGCUGCGGCAGCGACGCUUAUGCGUUGUUGGGUAGGGGAGCGUUCUGUAAGCCUGCGAAGGUGUGCUGUGAGGCAUGCUGGAGGUAUCAGAAGUGCGAAUGCUGACAUAAGUAACGAUAAAGCGGGUGAAAAGCCCGCUCGCCGGAAGACCAAGGGUUCCUGUCCAACGUUAAUCGGGGCAGGGUGAGUCGACCCCUAAGACGAGGCCGAAAGGCGUAGUCGAUGGGAAACAGGUUAAUAUUCCUGUACUUGGUGUUACUGCGAAGGGGGGACGGAGAAGGCUAUGUUGGCCGGGCGACGGUUGUCCCGGUUUAAGCGUGUAGGCUGGUUUUCCAGGCAAAUCCGGAAAAUCAAGGCUGAGGCGUGAUGACGAGGCACUACGGUGCUGAAGCAACAAAUGCCCUGCUUCCAGGAAAAGCCUCUAAGCAUCAGGUAACAUCAAAUCGUACCCCAAACCGACACAGGUGGUCAGGUAGAGAAUACCAAGGCGCUUGAGAGAACUCGGGUGAAGGAACUAGGCAAAAUGGUGCCGUAACUUCGGGAGAAGGCACGCUGAUAUGUAGGUGAAGUCCCUCGCGGAUGGAGCUGAAAUCAGUCGAAGAUACCAGCUGGCUGCAACUGUUUAUUAAAAACACAGCACUGUGCAAACACGAAAGUGGACGUAUACGGUGUGACGCCUGCCCGGUGCCGGAAGGUUAAUUGAUGGGGUCAGCGCAAGCGAAGCUCUUGAUCGAAGCCCCGGUAAACGGCGGCCGUAACUAUAACGGUCCUAAGGUAGCGAAAUUCCUUGUCGGGUAAGUUCCGACCUGCACGAAUGGCGUAAUGAUGGCCAGGCUGUCUCCACCCGAGACUCAGUGAAAUUGAACUCGCUGUGAAGAUGCAGUGUACCCGCGGCAAGACGGAAAGACCCCGUGAACCUUUACUAUAGCUUGACACUGAACAUUGAGCCUUGAUGUGUAGGAUAGGUGGGAGGCUUUGAAGUGUGGACGCCAGUCUGCAUGGAGCCGACCUUGAAAUACCACCCUUUAAUGUUUGAUGUUCUAACGUUGACCCGUAAUCCGGGUUGCGGACAGUGUCUGGUGGGUAGUUUGACUGGGGCGGUCUCCUCCUAAAGAGUAACGGAGGAGCACGAAGGUUGGCUAAUCCUGGUCGGACAUCAGGAGGUUAGUGCAAUGGCAUAAGCCAGCUUGACUGCGAGCGUGACGGCGCGAGCAGGUGCGAAAGCAGGUCAUAGUGAUCCGGUGGUUCUGAAUGGAAGGGCCAUCGCUCAACGGAUAAAAGGUACUCCGGGGAUAACAGGCUGAUACCGCCCAAGAGUUCAUAUCGACGGCGGUGUUUGGCACCUCGAUGUCGGCUCAUCACAUCCUGGGGCUGAAGUAGGUCCCAAGGGUAUGGCUGUUCGCCAUUUAAAGUGGUACGCGAGCUGGGUUUAGAACGUCGUGAGACAGUUCGGUCCCUAUCUGCCGUGGGCGCUGGAGAACUGAGGGGGGCUGCUCCUAGUACGAGAGGACCGGAGUGGACGCAUCACUGGUGUUCGGGUUGUCAUGCCAAUGGCACUGCCCGGUAGCUAAAUGCGGAAGAGAUAAGUGCUGAAAGCAUCUAAGCACGAAACUUGCCCCGAGAUGAGUUCUCCCUGACUCCUUGAGAGUCCUGAAGGAACGUUGAAGACGACGACGUUGAUAGGCCGGGUGUGUAAGCGCAGCGAUGCGUUGAGCUAACCGGUACUAAUGAACCGUGAGGCUUAACCUU
rnacentral:rRNA from 2 species